CCUCGCGUGCCGCCGCGUCCUCGCAGACCCCGAGCCGCCGGUCGGGCGCGCGGUGCGCGCGUCUCCGCCCGAAGACGCUUGUUUGGAGGGGGGCCGAGAGAGAUGAAAAGCUGCAGAAACCUGGCAGUUUAAAAGACGAGAAGUUUUAUCGUUUUUGCUUUCGCGAAUUAGUUGGCAUGGGGAAGACCGCAAAAAAAAUAAGUCUUUUCACCAUGUGGAGAUCAAUUCCUUUCUGGGCUGUCAGAAAGAUGCAGA